GAUAACAUCUAGUUUACCCAAAUAAGUGAAACUUGCAAAACCGCACCUCAAUAAUUACGCGGUUGUAACGCCUUUAUGACACCACUAAAUAUACAGAUUUGAAUUUUUGCAUUUUCUUAGGAUUGUUUAACUGUGUAUUUCACUGCAGGUGACGACAGUUUUAUUAGUAAUUUAAAUGAGGAAGGAAAGAAGAAAGCUAAAGAAGAGCUUAAUGAAUUAAAUGAUGUAGACAGACGGAUUGCUGUACAAACAUACAGGCAGUGGGUGGUUGACCAAGACUGGUUAAAAACUCCAACAGAUUUUGCCUUUCUUCUUCGUUUUCUAAGAGUAAGAAAGUUCAGCCAGCUUGGUGCUCGAGAAACUCUUGAAAACUACUGGAAAAGUAGGACAAAUAUUCCAGAAUGGUUUCGAAAUGUGGACCCAUCAAAUGAAAUAAUACAAGAAAUUUUUAAAACGGGAUAUUUCCAGUGUCCGAUGAAGUAUGAUAGAAAGGGACGUAGAAU